rnacentral:misc_RNA from 1 species
GAUGAAGAACGCAGCGAAAUGCGAUAAGUAAUGUGAAUUGCAGAAUUCAGUGAAUCAUCGAAUCUUUGAACGCACAUUGCGCCCCCUGGUAUUCCGGGGGGCAUGCCUGUCCGAGCGUCAUUACAACCCUCAAGCUCAGCUUGGUAUUUGGCCCCGCCGACCCGGCGGGCCCUAAAGUCAGUGGCGGUGCCGUCCGGCUCCGAGCGUAGUAAUUCUUCUCGCUCUGGAGGUCCGGUCGUGUGCUCGCCAGCAACCCCCAAUUUUUUUCAGGUUGACCUCGGAUCAGGUAGGGAUACCCGCUGAACUUAAGCAUAUCAAUAAGCGGAGGA